UCCGCAGGGGGUUUGCCAAGUCUGAUGUGAAAUCUCACAGCUCAACUGUGAAACGGCAUUGGAAACUGGCGAACUUGAGUGCGUCAGGGGCAGACGGAAUUCCUGGUGUAGCGGUGGAAUGCGUAGAUAUCAGGAAGAACACCGAUGGCGAAGGCGGUCUGCUGGGACGCAACUGACCCUCAUGGACGAAAGCGUGGGUAGCGAACA
rnacentral:rRNA from 1 species